GAAGCUUUUGGAGGAGAGUGGAGAUUUUCCAUCUUUCUACAAGAUUUCUGGCCCUUUGGAAGAUAUCAGCUUGAGUGAGAGAAAAUCUGCUUGGACUGCCUGCAAGCAGCUGGACAGAAGGCCAAAGAAGAACUAUCACUUCUCUGCUGGACCUACUUUGGCCACUUCUUCUGGGAUCUUGGCUCAUAUACUGUACUCUAUUUUGUGAGAUUGUGUUUGGGGAAACUUAAUUUAUUUAGCAUAGAUAAGUUAGCCAUUAAGAUAGUUUUAAGGGACUUGGGGGGUUAAGAUCAAGACCCUUCCCUUAUCCUUUUACUCUCCUUCCUCUCAAUCUUCCCAUCAAUAAACUUUAAAAUAUUUAGAUGUUUACUUCUUGUUUCUUCCCCUUAACAAUCCCACCAUACCAGUUUAAAUCUAUGAGCCUGUAGAGGAGAUGUUAUUAUUCUCAUUUCAGAAAUGAAGAAACAAGCUAAGAGAGUAAAUGAUCUGCCCAGAAUCACAGAGUUAGUUAAUAUGUCUUCCUGACUCCUGAUCCAGCAUCCUAUUUACCAUGCCAACAGGAAUAGAUGGGAAAUAAAUAUAAAGAAAAUAAUGCAAAUUCUUUUGUAUCCUUACCCCUUCUUCUUAGACUCUUUUUGAAAAUUUGCAUGAGGCACAAAGGUUUUAUCUGAAUGAAUUAGAAAUGCAUCCAUUUAGUACAACUCUCAAGGUUCAUCAUGACAUGAAAAUAAGUAAACCAAGGUUCUAGGAAACUAUUCCAUGAAGCUCAAGCAUGGACUGUUUAUAUCUUUUGUUGGAAGAUAAGCCUAGUAGAUUUGGGUAAGAUGCAUUGCCAGAAUGUUGGCGAUCAGGUAAUGAUAUUUCUGUUUGUUUGUUUAUAGCAACUCAUUAAACUGUUUAUUCAGACAUGAAGGAGAUGUGGUCUGCAUCAGUGAAUACAAUAUUCCAUACCAAUGGAAUUAUGGAAUCUUUAAAGUAUUAAAGUUAUUGGAAAGUCUGACUUUUUGAAGAAAAAUUCCAAGAGUGAAGACUAAUUUCAUCCAGAAAACCAACAACAACCACCCUGCUGGAGUUCAACUAGAACAAAGAUUGGGACCUUGGCUCCCACUAGAAACAUCCAAGUUGACUUCGGGGUAAACAUGGAUACAAUCUAGACGUGACUCGCUUUCCCUCCCAAGCACUAAAGGAAAUAGACUACCUCAAAAGAGCAUAAAAAUCAUCUUUGGAAGAAUGGAGGGACUCUCCAGUACCCCACAGAAAUGAAGAGGAGGGCUUGUAGGAACUGGAACAAGGGCGAAGGAAGUCUCACAACUGAUGUCCUCUUGGGUCUGGAGAAGUCGCAGUAGAAAAUCAGCAGCAGGAGCUCACAGGAUCAGGAAGGGAAGAAAUGGCUUCACCCACACAGUCCACCUGGGUGGAGUGUUACCACUCUCUCUACCACUUCCAGAAGAUGAUUUUGAUUGAAGUAAAGUCCCAGUCUCCUGGUAGCUUCAAAAUGUCCUUCUUCAGAGAGCAAUUCCACUAACUUUUCUCCAGAGAGAAAGUCUCCUCUGCAUUCCAGAAUUUUCUCUCUCUGCCUCUGUACUCCCUGCUUUCAGCUUGCUCCUGCUAAAAUCCCUUACAAGUUGUAUGGAUGUGGAUCAAAACAUACUUUCUUUUACAUCCAUGUAUUCACAGUUUUAUUUAGGGGGUUUGGUUCUAUACGUGUGUUCUUACAACAAAGACAAACAUGGAAAUGUUUUGCUUGAUAAUACAUGUAUGGUCCAGAUCAAAUUGCUUACUAUCUCUGAGUGAGUGAAAGGAAAAGAGAGAGGGAAAUGGUUUGCAUCUCAUAAUUUUGGAAAACUUAUGUUUAAAAUUAUUAUUACAUAUAAUUCAGAAAAUAAAAUAUCUUUGAAUUAAAAAAUAAAAGAACUAAAGACUGAAAAUGGCAGGUAAACAAAAGCAACAGCCUAGCCUACAAAGUUGGAGAGGAUUUGAGCAUGUAUCUAAUGUGAGUAUUGUCUAAAGAUCAUAAUCCCCAAGUUCAGAAAUGUCCAUCAAGAGAAGUUUGGUUACCAGAUGAGUAGGUUUUGUGGUAGUUGUUUUGUUUUGUUUUUCCUACUCCUCACAAAGACAACUAAGUCUUGUGCUGUGUCUCAGUGGAGAUAAUACCCAAACCAAUGAAUCCAAAACACUUUUGAAAUAUAAGAAAAAUAAUUAAAAAUAAAACCUUUUAUUAUUCAUUUCCCACUUGAAACACCUUUCUAUCUCAUUUUCUCCACUCUUACAGCCACAACCCUUAUACAGAAGUUCAACACCUCUUGUGGGGAUUGUUGCAAGACUUCUAACUAGUCUCUCCUCUCAAGUGUCUCCCCUCUCCAGUCCAUUUUCCAAAUUCAGCUGCCAAAGUGGUUUUUCUAAAGUACAAGUUUCACUGUGUCACCCCAUCCCUGUUACUCAUUAAACUAACAGUGGCUCCCUAGUAUUUCCAAGAUCAAAUAGAAAGUAUUUGGGUUUAGCAUUUAAAGCCCAUCACAACCUUGCUCCUUCCGAGCUUUUAAAUCUCCUUAUACUUGACUUCCCUCCAUAUAUACCCUCAUAGUAGUUGCACUCCCAUCCUCAUCCCUUACCCUGCCUCCUAGAUUCCUUGGUUUCUCACUCAAUUUAAAUCUCACCGUUUUCAGUAGACAUUCCUGGUUUUCACAGCUGCUAAUCCCUUUCCCCCUCGGAUUACUUUCCAUUUGCUCAGGAUCUUUUGUAAACACCAUUACCCAUUUAAAGUAUCAAGAUACCAUGUAUCUUGAUACAUUUAUCAGAUGAGAAUACAUCUUAUUCCCAAAAUAUGAACAAAGCCUCAGUAACAAAUUGAAAGGAAAUAUUCUGAUUUUGUGUAACAGGAAGUCUUUUAUGAUUAGAUGAGGGACUUAUUCACAGCCUGAAGAGCUUGUACAUAACGAGGACCUAGUUCAGAGCUCAGGAGAGAUUUCAAGGGGCUGACAGUGAAGAGGAUGGAACAGGGACUUCAAAAGCUGAAGAAGGAAGAAUUAACAACACAGAGGCAACCAGGCAUAGUAGAAAGAGAAAGGAAUACUUCACUAUGGCAGAGAAGGCAGGAGUCAGGUCAGUCUAUAAACUCUACAGGUAUCUCAAAGCAAAAGACUUCAGCAAUUGUUGCCUCCAAUUCUGCCCUCUCUUCCUUGAGGCCUGAGGAAAGUUUUUUAAAAAUAUACUCUUCUCCCAAAUGCUAGGGUUGUUUACCCAAACAUUUCUAAUAACCCGAACUUAGCCUCCAACAUAAUGAUGCCAAAGGUUAGCAAGAGAUAAACAUAAAUGUAAAUUAAGGCAGAAAGCCAAACCUUUGCUUAAAUUGUUAGAAAUUUUCCUAACUGGGGGCUCAGAGAGUUUGUUGUGGUGAUCCUAAGUUUUAGUUUAAUAGAAAUUAUCUAAGACAAUGGCAUAAGAAACCUUAAGGAUUAAAAGAGCCACUGUUGCACAGGCUUAAAAUGAGAUAAUUAUUCUAUUGGAGUGUUACAUAUCUACCUAGUUAUUGUUGUCUUUCCCAUAAGAAUAGAAGUUCUUUGAAGGCAAAAACCAUUUUGCUCUUCUUUUUUACCCCUAAUGCUUAGCUCAUUCCCUGGCACAUAGUAAGCAUGUAAUAAAUGAUUAUUGACUAAACAAUUAUUGACUAACCUAAGCUGAUAACUUAUAUCUUCAUGAGUUGUUGUGACUAAAGAAAAUUCAUUACCUAAUAGCAAGUCUUUCAGUAAUGAACCCCUUUGAAUUCCUCUGAACUAAACUGAUGCUAGAAAUAAAGAUAUUUUAGUCCUUUUUGAGAGCUAAUUCCCAAAGUUUUUUUUUUUUAUCACUGUUAAGACUUACAUAGCUAACAUAGUUGACAGUAUAGCCUCUUUCUUCAAAGAAAAAACAAACUCAAAAGUCUCUACCUAACUUGUGAGUCAGUAUUUUCAUACAAAACAGUGGGGUAGGAGGUGUUGGAAAUGGCAACUGGACUAGGCCAAAUGUGAAAUAUCAAUUAGAUUGAUCUCAUCAGGUGUCACUAUGAAAUUUGAUAGGCAAAUGGGGAUUAAAAUUUUAAAAAAGAUUGUUGGUCUUACACAGGGGGCAGAAAAUCAUGAAUGGUUUCAGGGCAGAAAAUGUUGAAGCCAUUGAGAAACCAA